CAGGACCAAGCUGGGAGAGGUUUGUCAGCAAAACACUGUGGUCCUGAAAUUUCAAGCCUGAGGCGGAGCUGGGAAGAACAUCCUAGAGCUCCUGGGUUUCUAUCUAGGGCUUUGGACACAGCUUCAGUCAAAGAGUCCCCCUUCCUGAAAGUGGGUACCGAGACAUGAGCUUUCAAUACCUGCAAAUUUCCAUCUGGUUUGUUAGCAGCACUCCUCAUGAAGGGGAUUAUGAAAAGUUGGAGAUGCUACAGUGUUUCAUACUCAUUUGACUGUGGUGGCUGAGCUGAACAACUUCUGACUUGCCCUCCUGAAGGUGAACGGAGGACAAGGCUGUGCAGUGGGGCUGGUGACAACUCGGUUUCAACCUCUGC
rnacentral:lncRNA from 1 species